rnacentral:rRNA from 1 species
CUGGCGGCGUGCCUAACACAUGCAAGUCGAACGGAGUUACUUUUAGAUUACUUCGGAAUGACGAGUUGUAAACUUAGUGGCGGACGGGUGAGUAACGCGUGAGCAACCUGCCUUUACAGAGGGGGACAACAGUUGGAAACGACUGCUAAUACCGCAUAAUAUUAGGUUUAGACAUCUUUACCUAAUCAAAGGAGCAAUCCGCUGAAAGAUGGGCUCGCGUCCGAUUAGAUAGUUGCGGGGUAACGGCCCACCAAGUCGACGAUCGGUAGCCGGACUGAGAGGUUGAUCGGCCACAUUGGGACUGAGACACGGCCCAGACUCCUACGGGAGGCAGCAGUGGGGGAUAUUGCACAAUGGGCGAAAGCCUGAAUGCAGCAACGCCGCGUGAGGGAAGAAGGUCUUCGGAUUGUAAACCUUUGUCCUAAGUGAAGAAACAAAUGACGGUAACUUAGGAGGAAGCCACGGCUAACUACGUGCCAGCCGCUGC